AAUGUUUCUGAUCCAAGCUACCUGAUGAUGGCAGUAAUGCACUGUUAAGUGCGGUUGCCAGUAAAAGAAAGAAGAAGAAGAAGAAGAACCCCGGAAGUAGAUUCUUCUCUUAGCAUGGCGCAAAUGAAUACUUUGCAGUAGUAAUUGCUAGUACUGGUGAUUUUGUAACAAAACGAAUUAUAUGAAUAUGUAAUUCCCACGUGAGAAGUUAUCACAAGAAAGGUUGAGUAAGAUUUUUUUCACGAUGGCGUCAGGCGUGGGAGAACUAGCACACGGUAGCGUGGCCUCCCAGUUCUACAGCAAUGAGGAAGAAACAGCCAUUGACAUGACCACUAGCGAGAAGGUGGUGGACUUGCUAAACCAGG